UUUUAGCCCUGAUAGAAGCGGUAUCCUUUUUUAGCCGCUUUUUUGCGGAUAAUAAAGAUAUAGCGGAUAGCAGGAUUAGCU
rnacentral:sRNA from 1 species